GGAAGUGAGUUCAGACACGUCGCACUACAGCUACACUUUUAAAAUAAAGUUAAACAACAGACAAUACGAGUAAAUUCUGUCAGACAGAACGAACAGCGCACGAGAGACAUGAGACACGUGCUUUAGCUGAACUAACAUUACACGUCGACAAGAAAGGUGGAGAUGGCGCAGGAGAGCAUGGUGCAGUACGAGCCUGUCGCUGAGAUCGGUGGUGGUGCUCACGGCACAGUUUACAAAGCUCGAGACAAAGACAGCGGACAGUUUGUGGCUUUGAAGAGUGUGAGAGUUCAGACCAAUCAGAAUGGACUUCCUCAGUCCACGGUUCGAGAGGUUGCUCUGCUCAGACGACUCGAGCAAUUCGACCAUCCUAACAUCGUCAGAUUGAUGGACGUGUGUGCCACACUGAGAACAGAGCAUGAAACUAAAGUGACUCUGGUGUUUGAACAUGUGGAUCAGGACCUCAGGACGUAUCUGGAGAAAGCUCCUGCGCCUGGACUGCCCAUCAGCCAGAUCAGAGACUUGAUGCAGCAGCUGUUGUGUGGUUUAGCGUUUCUGCACACGAAUCGAGUUCUUCAUCGAGACCUGAAGCCAGAGAACAUCCUGGUGACCAGCAGAGGGCAGGUGAAACUGGCAGACUUUGGUUUGGCACGAAUCUACAGCUUUCACAUGGCGCUCAGCCCAGUGGUUGUCACGUUGUGGUACCGCUCACCUGAAGUUUUGCUUCAGACCUCUUACGCCACACCUGUAGACAUCUGGAGCACUGGAUGCAUCUUUGCUGAGUUGUUUAGACGCAAACCUCUCUUCUGUGGAGAUUCAGAGGUGGACCAGCUGGCCAAGAUUUUCGCUGUGAUAGGUCUGCCGUCUGAAGCGGAGUGGCCAUCUGAUGUCACUCUGUCCCGCCAGAACUUCAGCCCUCAGAAGCCUCAGUCAAUCACAGACUGUGUUCCAGAGAUCAGUGAGAUGGCAACAAAGCUCUUAUUGGUUCAGAUUGGGACCAGUGGUUACCAUAUUUGAUGUUCGCAUACCGAGAGGCUCCCCAGUCUUCAACUGGUUUCUGGCCAUUUGAAUUGCUCUAUGGACGACAAGUUCGAGGUCCAUUGGAUGUGCUAAAGGAGGCAUGGGAAGGAGGAGAUGCUCACGUUUGAUCAGUCAAGAAGAAUCUCUGCAUUGAGCGCGUUAGAGCACCCAUUCUUCACUGAAUGAGCACCAAAUUUCCCAGCAUUCAUGCUGAUGGGACCACAUACAACCGACUGAAUGUUUGCUUGAGUUUAGUUACAGUGCCUUUGGAGUAUUGAUCAUUGUUCACAUUUGUUUUUUGACUUGAACUUUGAAGUGUCAUACCGUAUGAUGAAGCUUAGCAUCACUCUAAGACCUGGCUGGUUACCUCCGCAGUCCUGUGGAUUUAGAUUCAACCCUUAUCCAUCACACCAGUCAAUCAUUUUUCCUAAGUCUGGAAGCCAGUGGUGGCCGGUGCACACAACAAGCCAUUUGACAUGUGAUGACAGUUUAUCAUCACCGCUCAGCUGAAAAAUCAGGUUUAACUAUCAAAGCAUGUAAUGGUGUUUAUUAACAAUAAUAAGGUGCCAGUCCAAAUAAAAACAAAUAUUGCAGUAUACUUUAUUAUUUAUUAUAGUAAACUGUAGUAAAAUUCCUAGGCACUACAAUGUUUUUAACCAUAUCAUUGUAAAUUUUGUACAAGUGUAUGGAGUGUUCGGAAAACUCUGUGCAGUGUUUUAGUUGGUCACGCAUCUCUUCUGUAAUCAAAUGAGCAUUGUAAACACUUGUCAAGUAAAGCUCGUCCUCCAUCAUUGUUGCAGUCAAGUCAAGUGUACCCGCUCCUUAAUGAAGGUCUAGUAACUUUGGCCCAAAUCAAGAGGUCAUAUGAUUGACAAGUCAAGCAACAAAUCGCUUUCCUUUUGCGCUGUCAUGUUUAGAGACGUGGAAAUGUCCGACAGUAACAGACUGGUGUUCACAAUUUCAAAAGCAUUCACAAACAUUUCAAAGUUAAGUGCAACAACAUUUACGAGUUUAUGUCGUGAACCUCGCAUACUUUUGAGAAUGAAUCUGGGUUUUUUAUCUUUUAUUUUUUUUUGCCGUUUAGUCAAUAGAACUCUUAUUACAUGUAAACACAACAGCUUACUACUUCGAUCAGAUAGCUUCGUGUUGUUUUCAGGCAGAUGCAACAUGCACGUCUCAUAUGACGACUUUGAACUCGAUGAAGUGUUUCCAGAAAGUGUGGCAUAUGCAUCAGAUGUUUAGCAAACGGUUUAAAUAAUACUUUCAAUGAAUACUUACACAACAAGCAGGCAAAUAUAGUGUGAAUAAAUCUGUUAAUUUUUUAACUGCCAAUAUUUUGAACAGUGUUGUUCUCUGCGCCCUCUAUUGACCAGCCACCACUGCAGAAAGCUGUGAAAUGCUUCAGAGGUUUCCUUUUCACUAUCUAAUUCUCUAAAAUGCAUUUCUGGCAUGAAAUUAAUCUUUUAGUUUUUAAAUAUUCAAUAGGUAAUCAACAAGAUGCUCUCGUUUAUUAUUUCAAGUACUAUUCCCUUACUCGGCUUAUUUGAAGCCUGUCCGAAACUGCUUUCCUGAGGUGCCUUCAUGUGCAACCGCUGCCUCUGAAGUCUAGUGAGGGAACACUUGGUCAUGUGUGUUUGAUAAGGGUUGACACUGAACUCUUGUAGGGCACUGAGUUGACUAGUCCUGAUCGAAGUCAGUAUACAGUUGAAAGAAAAAGUAUGUGAACCCUUUGGGCUUACUUGGAUUUCUUCAUAAAUUGGUC